rnacentral:rRNA from 1 species
GACGAACGCUGGCGGCGUGCUUAACACAUGCAAGUCGAACGGAAAGGCCCUGCUUUUGUGGGGUGCUCGAGUGGCGAACGGGUGAGUAACACGUGAGUAACCUGCCCUUGACUUUGGGAUAACUUCAGGAAACUGGGGCUAAUACCGGAUAGGAGCUCCUGCUGCAUGGUGGGGGUUGGAAAGUUUCGGCGGUUGGGGAUGGACUCGCGGCUUAUCAGCUUGUUGGUGGGGUAGUGGCUUACCAAGGCUUUGACGGGUAGCCGGCCUGAGAGGGUGACCGGCCACAUUGGGACUGAGAUACGGCCCAGACUCCUACGGGAGGCAGCAGUGGGGAAUAUUGCACAAUGGGCGGAAGCCUGAUGCAGCAACGCCGCGUGCGGGAUGACGGCCUUCGGGUUGUAAACCGCUUUCGCCUGUGACGAAGCGUGAGUGACGGUAAUGGGUAAAGAAGCACCGGCUAACUACGUGCCAGCAGCCGCGGUGAUACGUAGGGUGCGAGCGUUGUCCGGAUUUAUUGGGCGUAAAGGGCUCGUAGGUGGUUGAUCGCGUCGGAAGUGUAAUCUUGGGGCUUAACCCUGAGCGUGCUUUCGAUACGGGUUGACUUGAGGAAGGUAGGGGAGAAUGGAAUUCCUGGUGGAGCGGUGGAAUGCGCAGAUAUCAGGAGGAACACCAGUGGCGAAGGCGGUUCUCUGGGCCUUUCCUGACGCUGAGGAGCGAAAGCGUGGGGAGCGAACAGGCUUAGAUACCCUGGUAGUCCACGCUGUAAACGGUGGGUACUAGGUGUGGGGUCCAUUCCACGGGUUCCGUGCCGUAGCUAACGCUUUAAGUACCCCGCCUGGGGAGUACGGCCGCAAGGCUAAAACUCAAAGGAAUUGACGGGGCCCCGCACAAGCGGCGGAGCAUGCGGAUUAAUUCGAUGCAACGCGUAGAACCUUACCUGGGUUUGACAUGGAUCGGGAGCGCUCAGAGAUGGGUGUGCCUCUUUUGGGGUCGGUUCACAGGUGGUGCAUGGCUGUCGUCAGCUCGUGUCGUGAGAUGUUGGGUUAAGUCCCGCAACGAGCGCAACCCUUGUUCACUGUUGCCAGCACGUUAUGGUGGGGACUCAGUGGAGACCGCCGGGGUCAACUCGGAGGAAGGUGGGGAUGACGUCAAGUCAUCAUGCCCCUUAUGUCCAGGGCUUCACGCAUGCUACAAUGGCUGGUACAGAGAGUGGCGAGCCUGUGAGGGUGAGCGAAUCUCGGAAAGCCGGUCUCAGUUCGGAUUGGGGUCUGCAACUCGACCUCAUGAAGUCGGAGUCGCUAGUAAUCAAAGAUCAGCAACGCUGCGGUGAAUACGUUCCCGGGGCC